AUUGAACGCUGGCGGCAGGCCUAACACAUGCAAGUCGAACGAGUGGCGGACGGGUGAGUAAUGUCUGGGAAACUGCCUGAUGGAGGGGGAUAACUACUGGAAACAGUAGCUAAUACCGCAUACCAUCGGAUGUGCCCAAAUGGGAUUAGCUAGUAGGUGGGGUAAAGGCUCACCUAGGCGACGAUCCCUAGCUGGUCUGAGAGGAUGACCAGCCACACUGGAACUGAGACACGGCCCAGACUCCUACGGGAGGCAGCAGUGGGGAAUAUUGGACAAUGGGCGAAAGCCUGAUGCAGCCAUGCCGCGUGUAUGAAGAAGGCCUUCGGGUUGUAAAGUACUUUCAGCGGGGAGGCGUUACCCGCAGAAGAAGCACCGGCUAACUCCGUGCCAGCAGCCGCGGUAAUUC
rnacentral:rRNA from 1 species